rnacentral:ncRNA from 1 species
AAGAGCCGUGUGAGGGGAGAUUUUCAAGCACGGUUCUGUGAGAGGCUUGGGGUGAAAUCCCUUGGUCUACUCGAC